GGAUCUCGCUGCGUUGCUCAGACUGGUCUCGAACUCCUGGGCUUAAGGGAUUCUCCUGCCUCAAUCACAGCCUCCCAAGUAGCUGAGAUUACAAGUGCUCACCACCGUGCCAGCGAGUUCAGUUUUUGAGGGUGGAGCCAAGACUCUGAGGAGAGGGCUGAACUGUGAACCUAGAAGUACCAUCUCCCCCUGCACACACCUUUGGUCAAGUUGACCCCAAGAAGAAGGACAAGUCCUCUGCACGGCGAUGAGGCCAUACACACAGUCUGUGGCCCGGCUUUGGGAGACUGAUGGGACAAAGGAUGUUUUGCACGAUCCUUGGUCUCUGAGCAAAUAUAUACAUGGGUUAACACAAAGGCUCUCUUUUUGAAAAAUGUGACUGUGAAAGUGUGCCCUCCCACAUAUUCCAGGCAUAACACAGGAGUGACUGCAUGUUUGGGGACAGUGCGGAGGCCACUCUGAUUAGAUCAGAGGAUGUGGACUGGUUCAUGAUGUAAAAGCUGAAGGGAGGCCGGGCACAGUGGCUCACGCCUGUAAUCCUAGCACUUUCGGAGGCCAAGGUGGGUGGAUCACGAGGUCAGGAGAUCGAGACCAUCCUGGCUAACAAGGUGAAACCCCGUCUCUACUAAAAAUACAAAAAUUAGCCAGGCGUGGUGGCAGGCGCCUGUAGUCCCAGCUACUGGGGAGGCUGAGUACUGGGGAGGCUGAGGCAGGAGAAUGACG
rnacentral:lncRNA from 1 species